GUCAGCCCGAAGCCACCCGAGGCCAACACUGUCAGGAGAAUCUGCCUGAGAAUGAAGGCAGCUGAGCAGAAAACACAGCUGAGAAGGGCAGACAGACAAAAGGAUCUUGAAGACGUGGCUUAUCCACCUGGAUCCAGCCAUGCCUGAAGCUGCACCACAGGAUUUCCAGUUAUGUGCCGAGUCUUGUGCUGAAUGCUGGGGGAGAGAUAUUUAAGACACAGCGCCUGGCUUUGGGGAGUUCACAGCUUGUAGAGAAGGUCCUGAUGGGAAUACAGAGAACUAUGUCUGCCCUGGCCUGGGGCAGAGCUCUGACAGGUAGUGACCUGUGGCCAGACCCGAGAUUGUAAGUCAGUGAAUCCCCUUCUCCUGCCCAGGGACCAGCAACCCCCGCCCAACCCCAUGGGGCUGACUUUUCCUACUGUACCCAGCCCACCCAGCCCCCAAGUGAAAGGCUGUUGAUUUAAGGAACCCCGAGAGAAAACACAAGGUGUGGCCUCCUGCUGGCCAGUCACCUGGGUCCUUGUCUACCUGAAGAUUCUCUUCAAAGGCAGCGGGGUCUCUUGCAAGAUCAAGACUUAGAUCCAAAGCCAGACACGGACCGGGGGGCGGCCACCUCGGAGCCUGGACCUAAGGCGUGGUGGCCGGAGAGAAGGGCCCUCCAGGUGAGGAGGGUGAGGGUGGGAGCCUGCUGGCCCAGCACGCCCAGGCUCCGGGGGUCCUGGAGCCCCAGAGGUCAUAGACGGUAUUGGGGGCACAUGCGUCAUUGAGCCUCCACAGGGAAAAACUAACUCCUGUGUUGGGGGACCCUUCACUCCACAAGGGGGAGCUCCGCUGGGCCAGGACACGGCUCAGAGCCACCGCGUCGUUUGUCUCAGGGGGCUCAGCCACCUCGCCAGGAACUGCACCAGAAAUCAGCGGCCCCUGGCAUCCGAGGAGCAGUGGGAGAAUCAGAUGGGGGACCCUAGUGGCAGCCCUUCCCAGUCCCGAGGGGUCUAGCUUCAGCUGGACGCCACCUGGACCCCCAGGCUGGGUGGGGUCCUGCUCUUUGCUCUCACCUGCCAGCCUGGCGGGGAGCAUGCCCGUGUGGGUCUGUGGGUGGCGGGUUGGCACCAGUGCACAGCCUGGGCUCACGAUGACGUCACGCUCAGCCACCUCCCUCCCCUGGCACACCUGCUCCUUGGGCAGGUUCCCAGUGUCACCUGACGCCAGCUCCCUCGUCCCAGGUGCCCAGGACAAAAGUCCAGGGUCUGCCUGGCCUCCCAGCUUCCUCUACCACACCCCAGCUCCCCCUGGGCAGCCCUGGCCACGGCCUUCCCCCUACCUGUUGCCAAGUCGCAGCCCUGGCUGAAGACCCUCAGCUCCCUGCGGUGACCCCUCUCCCUGUUCCUCACCCAGGGCCAGAGAGGUUCCCCGCCUGCUUGAGACCACCGGAGACUCCCCGGCUGCUCAGAAGUCAAAAGCCAAAGCCCUGUUGUUGUGACAAGCCCACCAUGCUCCCUCCUCUCCUCCCCGCCACAUGGGCCUCGCUGCCUCAUUAGACCCUUGCACACCCCAGGACUCUUGCACCUGCUCCUCCAGAGGCCAAAGCCUUCACCACCCCUGACCAGGUGGCUCCUCCUUCACCCACUCCAGGUCCUUGUUCAAAGGUCACCUUCUCCUGAGGUUUCCCGUGACCAUCCCGUCCCUUCCAGGCUUCGCUUUUCUUGUGGUUCUUAUUCAGAUCAAGCGUCUCCUUGGUAUCUCGAUCCCCCCUAGCUGUAAGGGCCCCCAGAGGGGCUGCCUGUCUUCCCCCUGCUGCUGAACCCCCCGCACCUGGAACCGUCCCUGGAACACGGCGGAGUCGUAAUGUUGGUUGGGUGGAUGGCCACAUGGACAUGUUCUGUUACCC
rnacentral:lncRNA from 1 species